AACAAAUUGGCUGAUGCAGAUUUUUGCAGUACUUUUGUAAAGUAUGUUGGACAAAUUGGCGGGAACAGUGCCAAAGAAAAUACUUUGAGAAUAUUGCGACAAGUAUUCACCAACGACUUCGCUAAAGACGCUUCAUGGUGCGGUCUGAGGGCCAAUUUUCAACUUUCAAAUUUGAAAGUCACAGCAGCCAUCAAAGAUGGAGUGAGACUGUCAUACACCUGUACAGAUAAAGAAUUUGAAGAUACGGUGUCAGAAUGGUUCCGCCAAGCUAAACAGCGGUUCAAGAGAGAGAAUACAAAAAAGAACGGACCUCAACCACAUCCUGCAGCUAAUAAUUAGUACAGAUGAUGACGCGCUAAACCAUGACAGUUUCCAUAAGAUGCCCCAAACAGAUUUAUGGGGUACAUAAGAAGGAGAUGCAGGUCUCAU
rnacentral:lncRNA from 1 species